rnacentral:rRNA from 1 species
AGCGAACGCUGGCGGCAGGCCUAACACAUGCAAGUCGAACGAACUCUUCGGAGUUAGUGGCGGACGGGUGAGUAACACGUGGGAACGUGCCUUUAUGUUCGGCAUAACUCAGGGAAACUUGUGCUAAUACCGAAUGUGCCCUUCGGGGGAAAGAUUUAUCGCCUUUAGAGCGGCCCGCGUCUGAUUAGCUAGUUGGUGAGGUAAAGGCUCACCAAGGCGACGAUCAGUAGCUGGUCUGAGAGGAUGAUCAGCCACAUUGGGACUGAGACACGGCCCAAACUCCUACGGGAGGCAGCAGUGGGGAAUCUUGCGCAAUGGGCGAAAGCCUGACGCAGCCAUGCCGCGUGAAUGAUGAAGGUCUUAGGAUUGUAAAAUUCUUUCACCGGGGACGAUAAUGACGGUACCCGGAGAAGAAGCCCCGGCUAACUUCGUG